rnacentral:sRNA from 1 species
UGCAACGGAGGCCGCGGACGAUCCUGCA